UACGAAGGGGGCUAGCGUUGCUCGGAAUCACUGGGCGUAAAGCGCGUGUAGGCGGCCGAUUGUGUCGAGUGUGAAAGCCCUCGGCUUAACCGAGGAAGUGCGCUCGAAACUGGUUGGCUUGAGUACCGGAGAGGAAGGUGGAAUUCCCGGUGUAGAGGUGAAAUGCGUAGAUAUCUGCAGGAACACCCGUGGCGAAAGCGGCGCGCUGGACCACUACUGACGCUGAGGAACGAAAGCUAGGGGAGCAAACAGG
rnacentral:rRNA from 1 species